CUAACCUACGGGGGGCAGCAGUGAGGAAUAUUGGUCAAUGGUCGGGAGACUGAACCAGCCAAGCCGCGUGAGGGAUGAAGGUACAGAGUAUCGUAAACCUCUUUUGUCAGGGAACAAAGGCGGGGACGUGUCCCCGGAUGAGUGUACCUGAAGAAAAAGCAUCGGCUAACUCCGUGCCAGCAGCCGCGGUAAUACGGAGGAUGCGAGCGUUAUCCGGAUUUAUUGGGCGUAAAGGGAACGCAGGCGGUCUUUUAAGUCUGAU
rnacentral:rRNA from 1 species